UUUGUUGUUGACUACUGAAAUAUCUGCAAAAUUGCUUCAGCAGUGGGAGACGACAUUCAAGCAGAAAGUCAUCAAAGAAGCAAAACCUCUCACUUUGAUAGCAGGACUUCAAAGUUAUAUCAGUGCAGCAGAGAAACAACAGUGUGAAAAUUACUGGGAUGGUAACAUUUCCUCUUUCUUGCUACUGUUGUAUUUGCUACCACCUUCUGCAUGGAGAAACAAGGCUAAAAUCAGUCCAACUGAUGCUGUUGACAGGCUUGUACAUUUUCAUAAGUCCUGUACCAGCAUUGAAGAAUGUCUCAGCAGGAGAGAACGUCACCAACC